GGAGCCGAACUUCUUCCCCGAGCUCAUAUCGCAGGUGGGCCUCAUCCGAAUUCUGGCAAGGGCCAAACUCCGGGCCCCCACCGCAAGCGGUCUACUUCGAACUUCUACCACAAGCGGUCUGCUCCGAGCUACCACUACAAGCGGUCUGCUUCGAAUUUCUACUACGAGCGGUCCACGUUGGAUUUUUACUGUAAGCCUCCACCUGAGCUUCUAUUGUGAGUGAAUUCCUUUCGAACUUCUAUUGCAGGCAGGCUUCGGCCGAGCUUUCUUGACAAAUGAUCCUCAUCCAGACUUCUACGG
rnacentral:lncRNA from 1 species